AUGGCCGGGAUGUGCCGGCGGGCGGCCGUGACCCUGCUGGAGUGCGGGGGGGACCUCCAGCCCCCCAGGGGGUCCCUGACUCUGCUCUGCCGCGCCUCCGGGUUCGAUUUUGGGAGUUACACCAUGAGUUGGAUUCGGCAAAGUCCCAGGAAGGUGUUGGAAUGGGUCGCAGGGAUCCACAACAAUGGUGGCAGCACCUACUACUCGCCAUCCGUCAAGGACCGGGUCACGAUCACCCGGGACAACGGGCAGAGCUCGGUGACGCUGACCAUGAACAGCUUCAAGGACGAGGAUUCCGCCGUUUAUUUCUGUGCCAAACACGGCGCUGGUGGUUCUGCUCAUGCUUAUGGUAUUGAUGGUUUUGGCCCCGUCCCCUUCCUCAGUUUUGGGAGUUACAGCAUGUGCUGGGUCCGCCAGAGCUCCGGGAAGGCGCUGGAAUGGUUUGCAGGGAUCGGCUACAGUGGCAGCAGUACCUGGUACGCGCCAUCGGGGAACUCAUCUCAGCUGUGUUCUCCUGCAACUGAACUGAACGUGACCAAAUAA